rnacentral:rRNA from 1 species
GUCCACACUGUAAACGUUGAUUACUCGCUGUGUGCGAUAUACAGUACGCGGCCAAGCGAAAGCGAUAAGUAAUCCACCUGGGGAGUACGCCGGCAACGGUGAAACUCAAAGGAAUUGACGGGGUCCGCACAAGCGGUGGAGCAUGUGGUUUAAUUCGAUGAUACGCGAGGAACCUUACCUGGACUAGAAUGCCCUUGACCGAUCCAGAGAUGGAUUUUUCCGCAAGGACAAGGAGCAAGGUGCUGCAUGGCCGUCGU